rnacentral:lncRNA from 1 species
ACACCCGUCCCCCUUCGACAGCUGGCGGGGGCCGAGGUACCCCCGGCACCCUACAGCCGGGGCGACCCCCGCCCUCACCCCCAACCCCCCCCCUCCCAACACACACAGUUCGCGGGGGUGGAGGCCGGCUACGCCUGUUUCUGCGGCCACGCGGGUGACGUGCGCCGGGGCCGCCGGGCCGGGGCGGCCGAGUGUGACCAGGUGUGUUUCGGCAAGGCCAGCCAGCUGUGCGGCGGCGACGGCCGCCUCGCCGUCUACCACGGUGAGUCCGGCGCGGUGACGGCGGCGCGGUGACAACGUCGCGGUGACAAUGUCAUGGUGAUGCCAUCGCAGGGAUGCUAAUGCGGUGACACUGCCACGGUGACGCUGUCACGGUGACGCCGUCACCCGGCGUUGUCACCGUCACUCCCUUCCCCGGCUUGCUUCCCCUGGGUUGCCCCCAGCCGCCCUACCAUCGCCCGGUUGCCGUGGUUACCCCGCCCCGGCGGUUGCCGUGGUUACCCCGGUGUGGCCCGCCCUCGGUUACCAUGGUUACGCUAGACCCAACCUGCUACCUGGUCACCGUGGGGCUGCGGUUGCCAUGGGGAUGUGGUCGCCGUGGUUGCCAUGGGUUGGUGGUCACCAUGGGUUGGUGGUCUCCAUGGGUCCAUGAUGGCCAUGGGGUGAUGGUCACCAUGAGGUGGGGGUCUCCAUGGGUCCACGACUUGGUGGUCACCAUGGUGUGAUGCUCUCCAUGGGUCCACAUUGGCCAUGGCUUGGUGGUCACCAUGGUGUGGUGCUCUCCAUGGGUCCACAUUGGCCAUGGGUUGGGGGUCACCAUGGUGUGGUGGUCUCCAUGGGUCCAUGAUGGCCAUGGGGUGAUGGUCACCAUGAGGUGGGGCUCUCCAUGGGUCCAUGACUUGGUGGUCACCAUGGUGUGGUGCUCUCCAUGGGUCCACAUUGGCCAUGGCUUGGUGGUCACCAUGGUGUGGUGCUCUCCAUGGGUCCAUGAUGGCCAUGGGGUGAUGGUCACCAUGAGGUGGGGGUCUCCAUGGGUCCACAAUGGCUGUGGGGUGAUGGUCACCAUGAGGUGGUGGUCUCCAUGGGUCCAUGAUGGCCAUGGCUUGGUGGUCACCAUGAAGUAGUGGUCUCCAUGGAUCCACAUUGGCCAUGGCUUGGUGGUUGCCAUGGUGUGGUGCUCUCCAUGGGUCCACGAUGGCCAUGGGAUGG